ACUCAACUAGCUCAGUCGGUAGAGCACGAGUCUCUUAAUCUCGGGGUUCUAGACCAACGUUGGGCG